CAUGUCGUGCAGCUUUAUCGCUCGCUCAUAUGGAACAUAUAAAUACAAACAGAAGUAAGACGAUCGUGCGAAUUCGCUGAUCAAUCCCAGUAGUCGAAAACAUUAAGGCAGAUGUAAGCCGAUUAGCAAAGUCAAUCACGCUGUCCUCGAGUACGUGUGACCAAUGGAGAGAUUCUCCGACAAUUGGCUCUAUAAUGACAGAUUUAGACAGCAGACGCCCUUGCCAUGCUUUAUCAGUGGCAAGAAGUGCCUUCAACAGAGAUAUCCCGAACUGUGUUUUUGGCCCUAUACUCUCGAUAGCUCAGACAAUCGAGACAUACGGGUAAGUUUCGAUAGUGGCGCAUGCUGCGUCCGAAACUACCGCAUCGCCCGACGAUCAAAAUGCACGUAUCGCGGGUCUGGUCCACUGCAUCGCGCUGUUACAACGAUGAUGCACGACGUGAAUGGGCUCGAACAAGAACUAAUGGCCGUCAACUUUCAUAUUCAAGAAUUGGACAGAAAACCUCGGAAUCAAGGGGCGCAAGGGAAACUAAAAAAGCUCUUCGUUCGAAGAGAUCAAAUACUCGAUGAAUUGAAUAAGCUGUACUCUGUAUUCGGCCACACAAGAAUCUACCGUGCCCAUCCAGGAAUAUAGUUCUCUGGAUCAAUUGACUGGACGAAAUCGGAACAAUUAAAUAAUGUGGCGUAUUUAAUUGUUUCAGGUGGAUCGUCGUUUUUCCAUGUAAACCGCUAUCACGCACUCUCUAUCUGAUGUUUUGCGCAUGCGUGGCGUUUGAUUUCUAUGCUUCGGUGAUGACGACUCUCAUAGUAGAAACUAGCCUAAUCCAAAAUGUGUCGAUAAUGAAUUGAUGAAAAAAAAUCAGACACUGCAGAAUGGUGCGUUGCCAGGCAAGCAGCUGCGGUGUAUAUUCUUUCUCUGUGUAGUAGUUUAUUACAUAGCAUUGUUCGACUUGCUUUAUUAUGGAACGUGCAUUGGAGGUUCACUGUACCGCACCUAAUACCGCACCCCAAAAAUAGAAAAAUACAAUACCCUUCAAUUAUAUCGUCAUGACAUUUGGACCGUGUGAUUAGUUGUAGGAAGUAAAAGUAGCUGACCUCAACUUUGAACGAGAGUGACAGUGUGACAGAAGUUAUUACUACUGAACAGUAUAAAAAACGGUGUAAAAUAGUGAAAACAUGAUCUUCUACGGGCAAUCUUCUGGAUUCCAAGCUGGUUCCAUUAUACGAACAAGUUCUGUUGAAGUUAGCAUAUGAUGCUUUGACUUUUGUAUGUGUAUGUAAUGUGUGCAGUAUAGUGCAACAGAACUCGAGUGAGGUAAAGUGUCGGGAAAUCGAUAAAGCAAAUUUGAGAAAAACAAAGGACGCAAUGAGACCCAAGCAACUGAUACUUAAGUGAAACGAAAUAUGGAACGGGACCCACGUAAACAAGAUUCAGGUCUAUUAUCAAUGAGCAAGCGACUGACCUAUCGAGUAAAUUGGUUAACACAAAAAUCCUGUAUGAAGGAACACGCAUUUCCCCCGCAUUCAUUGUGUCAUUGAACGAACUAGUCCUACAGCUGGGCGAACGACAGCAGGCAAUGAGAUCACUCCCUACACGUCUUUUAUCUCCAUCUCAAACACCAAAUGCUACGAGCGAGCGAGCUAGCUACAUGAAAUAUGCGAAUAUCUACUGGAUUUAGCAGUCAUCGUAAUGUCGGUGACGUGAUCUGGACAUGCGUUAUAUAGUGACAUGGUUCAGCGACGGAAACGCCAGUAAUCUCAUGAGAUGUAGCACGUCCGUCCAUCCGCAGGAAGCAGAUUGAACCGAAAAUCACCGGGCAUCCAUCUUCAAUUGACGGUCCCACUUCGGGUUUUAACUGUUCAGUUUAGACUAACAAGUCUUGAAUUUCGCUUGAGAAUAUCCGAGCUCAUCGGGUGCUGCCUGUUGAGACCUUCGUAGUACCUAAAGAACAUUUGUAGGCUUUCUCAAAUUCGGCUGGGCGGCAAAGAGUCAUAAUUCAGUUUCGGAUUUUUUUGUUCGUUCGGCCAGAAUAACUGAGGAAGUUUUCGGGAACAAUAUACUAGCUAGUUCGGUAGAAAUCUCGUACCGAGUCGACCAACGAAUGCGUUUCUGCCCAACGAUUGAUCAAUACUUUACGUAGUUUACGAGCGAUCCAUGUAUCGGGGCUACGACGACAAUCUGAAGAGGAAACGACUAGAGAGGGCCACGUCUGAAGGAGCAUCAAAGUGUUAGAUCAACGACUUCAUCGGCGCAGAUAAGACGACGGUGAGGACAGGCUGCGCCAGACGUAAGUAGAUAUAUGCAGAAAAGUCACAAUGAUUUCUGACAUCUCGACGAUCGCAGCUGAGGACAGUCUAUUAUGCGAUCUGACGAUGUAGUGAGCCCUCAUCUUCGUCGCUUCAUGAUGUUAAAUUUUGCACAUCACUCAGAAGAACUGAGCGGUCAUUUCAAGGAGUAUCACUUCAAUAGCCAUUUAUUGACUGUCUGAAGAGUUCAAAAACAUAACGACGCUGGCUGCAGCAGCAGCAGCAGCGUCAAACGUUUAAGAACCCAGUUCGCACACCGUAUUCCUCAACUACGCCGUUGGCCAAAUAGCACUUCGAACCGUUAGCAAAGCUUGGUCAGAGAAAAGUGAAAAAAAUGAACGCAUCCCCGUCAGCGAUUGUCAAUAGUCCACACUGCACACGUUCACCUGAGAUCGAACAUCGUAAUAGCUAACUUUUACGUUUACUGACUGCGUACAUGAAAUAGUUGCGUGUUUUGCCUGUCACUAUUUUUUGUAUAGCUAUUUUUGAAAGAAAUAUACUUGCUAAUUUCAAAGAACUGCUAUCUUUCCUCAGAUUAAUUUAUUAAGAAUACGUUUUG